AUACUUUUUAUUAGUAUUAUAUACGUUUGAGAAAUGUAGAUUCAAAUAAUUAUUGUUAACUUACAAAAUAUUAAGUAAGCAUAAAACAUGCAAUUGACACAUUUUAAUAUGUUAAUUACACUGGAACUAUUAACAUUUGUAAGUAACAUUUAUAAGUAACGAACAGACAAACGUAUACUGCUAUUGAAGCUUUCGUUCUCUGUAUCAAUAAUAGCAGAAUCCAAGUCAUUGUUAAAGGUCUAUUGAGUUUUGGAUGUUCAGUGUUAUGGUAACGCUUAUUACAUUGAUCCUGGUUGGAACUAAUUCUUUAAGUAUUAAUUUCUUUUAUGUAGCUAUUGCUUUUCAUCUAUUUUCAUUAAUUCUAGAUUAUUCUUUAAUUUGUUCGAAUUGUUUCGACUAAUAGCAGUUAUUGAUGUUAAUGAAAUGUAUGCAAUUUAUGUGCUAAUAGUUCUCCAUUUUAGUUAUAAUUUUGCUUAAAGCAUCGUAAGCCAUGCACGUGUACGUACAUGUAAGUUCAUCUGUUACUGAAAAGAUAGCGAGUACCUCGUGAACAAAUUGUAACGGUUGUAAUUAUUAGCAUUAAAUGAAUAACAAUACAAACAUAUCUUGUUGAAAUAUUGUGCAAUAUUCUUUACAUAAAACAUAUUAUUGUCAUUUUAAUAUGACUUUUAUAUAAUUAAUUACUACAAGUUUUUGCAAUCAUUUAAGACCUUAUUAAUAUUUCUCCCUAAGGAAGAAAGUCACAUAAAAUGACAAAACACAUAUUGGUAAGAAAAUACUAUAGUAUAAUUAUAUGAUUCAUCAAUAUUUUUUUAUGUUAAACAUGUUCUAUGUUAAACAACACACACAACUUUCACAUUAUUCAAGCAAUAUUGCAAAGUCUGAUAAGGUAAGAAACACAGCUCAUGACGAUUCAAAUGCAACUGAAGCUGUCGUUCUUUUCAAGAUUGUGUUUGCGCCUGCGCAUGAAUAUUCUUUGCACCGCACAAUAAACGCCGCUAUUAACAUAAUCGAUACCUCAAUUUGAAACAAUUGAAGCAAUUGAGGUAAUUUCGAUGAACUUUAUUUUAUCUAUAUAACGGUUACAUUGGUCUAUUACUAAAACAAUUACUUUUUUACUUUUUAGUAAUAGACCAACGUACUUUUUCUAUUAAACUAUUUUCGUGAAAAAGGGGAAAGAAUUCAUAAUUUAUACUGUAAAGGCUGCAAAGGAAAAGAUAACGUAAAAAUGAAAGACUCGUUUUAUUGUUGAGUCGUAAACUGAACAAGAUGUACGGGAUUGAAGAGUAUUAUUACAAAGUCAAUCGAGUGUUUAUGAAGACGCUUGGCUUAUGGCCUUAUCAGCAACCAUACAUUGCUCAGUUACAGAAAGUGUUGUUUUCCAGUAUUCUUUUCUCGUUUAUACUUGUUCAGUGCUUAGCAUGUUUUACAAUGAAAUUCAGUACAGACCUUUUCUUGAAGAUUCUGUCAUUUCUGUUUCCUACUCUUUUCGCGACUACGAAAUACUGUGUUUUCGUCAUUCGGGCGGACAGUGUAAAGCUGCUUCUAGAAGAGAUACGAAAUGACUUAACUCUGUUAAAAAACGAAGUGGAAAUUGACAUUAUAAAAAAGUAUGCUGACAAUAUGAGAUUUAUAACAAUGGUUUCGAUCGUGUCUUCUUAUGCUGGUACAGUCUGUUACGUAAUGUCACAAUAUCUUUUACCGUUGUUGCUUAAUGUUCUGUUACCAUUAAAUGCAUCACGAUCUUUGGAACUCAUUGGCAUCACAGAGUACUUUGUCAAUCGCGAGAAAUUUUUUUGGGCAUUGCUAUUCCACGAAGUGGUUACCGUUUAUGUGGGAGUUACCGCAGUAUGUAGCACCGGUGGAACAACAAUAAUGUACUUCCUACACUCAUGUGCACUGUUUAAAGUAGCAAGCUAUCGAAUAGAAAACGCUAUCGAUAAGAAAAUAUUAGCAAUCCCGGAUCCUACAAGAAAAUAUCUUCUUCAGCAGAAGAUUGUGCAUGCAAUUCUAAUUCAUCGCAGAGCCAUCAAGUAUAUUGAGCUGUGGUCAUCCAAUUUUAUGGUACCGUUCACUAUUUUGAUCCUAAUUGGAGUUAGUUCCUUAAGUUUUAAUCUUUUUCAUUUACUUCAAUUAGUAAUCGUGUUGGACGAUCCCAGUGAGAUGUACUUUGCGUUUCUAUUGAUUACUCUUCAUGUUGGUUAUAUGUUCGCCCUUAAUUAUGGUGGACAAGAAAUACAAAAUCACGGGGUGCAAUUAUUCGAAGCGAUGUAAUUAUUGUGUUUUGAAACUUCACUUUUGAAGCUAUAUCAGUGAAUGUUUACAAAAAUGGAGGCAGAGUAAAUUUCACACACAUCUUAAUUAUAAUGGACUGUGGUAUGCAGCACCGCUGCAUACACAGAAAUUACUAUUAUUUCUAAUGCAAAAGGCAGCAGUGAAAGUCACUUUGGUAU
rnacentral:misc_RNA from 1 species